GAGGAGGAGUUAUGGAUAGUUUUAGGCAUCGUGUAAAAAAAUAUAAUAAUUAGGAUAAAAUUAUAAAAUUAAAUAGAUUUAAGUUAAAUUAUUAAUUUUAAAAAUAUCAAAAUAAUUACAAAACCAUUCUAUUUUUUUUAUUUGAACGUCUAGUUCAAUUGUGAAAAUAUCUGAAAGUUUCUAAGUUGAUACAAUGCUUAGAACUAUCCAUAACCCUUUCUA
rnacentral:pre_miRNA from 1 species